AGGAGGAUAACUUUAUGCUUUAUUAAGGUUAAAAUCAGGUAAUCCACCUGAUUAUUAAAAGCCAUAUCCCAAAGUGUAGGCCACACAGUGUCUUUAUUGGUAGCACAAGGGAAGGCAAAAAUGUGUUCUUUAGUAUGGACAUUUAUCUGGGAUUUUAAUGCCCAAGCAUAAUUGUCUUCAUUUUCUUUUUUAAGUGUCACACAGAAAGGAGGAAACAUAUUUUAGGUACUUUAUUAUGAAUUAUGUGAAGAUGUUUGGCUAGUGUUAUGAAAUUAACAUUGGCUAAUGCAAUAUCACUCGAUUCUGAAAACCAAAUCAUGAAGUUCAAGCAACAAAGCCUCCACUGACACUCAUAUUCAAAAAACAUUGCAGGUUUUGAUUUGUUUGAUUGGACACAGCAGUCCAGAUUUAUCAAGUGGUUAAAAAAUAUCCAGCACGAAAAAAUUCUACCAAUUUUCACAAGACUUAACUAUCAAAGUAUCGUUAGCACCAUUUGGCAAAGAAAGGACUAGAAUUAGGUUUGAUUUGUCCAUUGUCUUUAACGUUCGGUAAUGGUUUCCAAUAACUUUCUGUCACAGAUCCUCAUUAAAUGGGCAUUAAUGUGAGGGAGAAAACUAAUAUAUAGAUAUAUUCUUUAACGUUAGUUUCAUGGCAAAAUCUGGUCUGGAUUUCUUUGUUCAAAUCUAGAUUUUGCAGUAAGGAUGUUGGUUCAAUUGCAAUGUAACCGUUUUGUCUAUGUUUGUGUUUAAACAGGUGAAGUUCUUCUAUGUGUACCCUAAAUUAGCAAGGUGACUGUUCAUUCUUACAUAUUGUGAGGUAACUGACAGAAUCAAAUGCUUUAUAGUAAAGUCAGCUGUUCUUCCCAAAUAAUGCCAGCUCUCACCAGCAAAUGACCACAGAGAAAUCUCAUUUAUUUCCAAAUAAUUAUUCCACCAUAUUAAUGACAAUAAGAUGAAAUAAAAAAAAUAAUUACUAUUAAAAUUGCUUGGCCAUGCAGUUUGUGUUAUCCGUGUCCAGCAGAAUGGAUGGCAUUUGGAUUUCAAAAAUCCCCCAUAAUCCCUUUCCUUUGUUUAUAUGUUUGUCGUUACACAUGGAUAUCUGUAUCAAACAGUUAUUUGAUUUAUUUCUCUCUCAUCCUGAUGCUCUUAAGUACAAUAUUAUAAUUUUUUUUAAAUUGUUAAAUUGUACAAAAAAACAAAUAAAUAAUAAAUCCAAUUUUUCUUUCUUUUAAUCCCCAUCACUGUGCAGUUUGCAGUUAUUGCUGAAUGGGAUGCAUAAGUACAUAGAACACGUUUAUCUUCAUCUGGAUAGAAUGCGUUCAAGUACAGCUAAACAUCUGUGCAAUAAAGGCUACUGCAGGCCUCAACUGCAGCUGUAAGGAAACUCUGUAAUGUGUUCAGUGUGCAGACACCCCUUCUCUCCCUUCCCUUCCUGCAAGGUGUGGAGAAGAUAAUGGGGGACAGUCGUAAUUUACAUUCAGAGACAGAAUGGAUCCCUGUCGAAUAAAUUUGUUUCCUUGCAGGAUGAAACCUACCAUUGCAGCAAAAGCGAACACAAGUGGAGCUUUGUGAGCUAAAUUAAAUUUUCCUUUGCAGAACAUGUAGAAACAUUUAAUUUUGUUAUGAGAGAAAUGCCAAUUUAGCAUUUUCAGUAAGUAAAGAAUUCUCCUUUGAAAAAUAAUUUCCCCAUCAUUAAUGUCCUUUUAAUUAAGGGUUACCAUUGUAAAAUGAAAACACAGACAGGAUAUUUUGCAAAACCAGCUGUUCCUGCCUCCUAGGUUAAUGCCAGAGUUACUGGAAUCAAUAUAAAAAAGCAGGUGUUACAUGCUACAGUCAACAUAAUCCAGAGAAAACCAUCUAAUUUUAAAAAAUAAAUUAAAGCUAAUAGAUACAGUAAUGUUCCUUUCAGAGAUGUUACUUUGAGGUCAGUAGAAUUAUUCAGUCGGUCCAUCUCAAAGAAAAUGUUUUUUUGUCACUGAUAAAGGGUUGGAGUCCAGGAUUGUACACAUUGUGAAAAACUCAUUAUUUAUUUAAUCGAAUCACUGAUGGCUAUGCCAGGGUUAAUUUCCACCAAGUCAGUUAUUUCACAGUUCCACCAGAGUUUGAGAUACCAAAUUCCCUUUCUGCAGUGAGGUAGAAUGAACAGGUGCCCUUUAAGGUCAAAUGUUAUAUAAACAUAUAUAUUUCUUGUGCAUGUGUCAGACAUUUAAAAUGUAUGUAUAGUUUAGUCUUCCCUGCUAAUGAUGUGCUUCUAUCAUUCCACAAAGGAAGAGGCUGAGCCUUUCAAAGAAUUUGGUUUGAAGCCAAUCACAUAAAACAUGAAAAAUCAGUAUGAUGAAUUCAAGUUUUCUAAUAUGAUACAUCCAUAGAAAAACUACAAGAUGCCUUAUAAUAUCGGUGACAAUUUUAUAUUUCUUGAGCUUUACAAAUACAAGUCUUCUCUAUGCCCAGGUGGUAAUUUAAGGACCAUGUAGGGGUACACAAGAUUAGCAUAUAUUACAAUUAAUGGUUCUUUCUUUUGUUGACAAUAAACCCAAAUGAUGGGUUUCAAGUGUUAUGUAAUACACACCAACACAAAUUCAGCAAAAACACUUCUCUUCCAAGUGUCAGAAAAGAAAGACAUUCUUAAAACAUUAAACUAUUGUUUGUGAGCACUUACCUGGGUCAGCCACAGUGGGACCUGACUAAUAUGUGAAACAUUCACUGACAGUCACACUCACUGAUCACACACACUCUCACUGCCUGCUUCUAGGCCAAUGACUCUACCUGUCUAUCUUUAAGCCACACCCCCUUUUGUAAUCAGACGCACUCUCUCACUAAUAGAGAUACACACUCACUGAUUUGACACACACUGAGACGUACUGAUACUCUCAAUAACAGACACACAAUCUAACUGAUUUGAAACACACACUGACAGACACGCUUACUGACAGGCACACACAUACACACACUCUCAAUGACAGACAUACACUCUCACUGAUUUGAAACACACACUAGCAGACACAAGCACUGACAGACACACUGGCACACUGUCUCAAUGACAGACACACAAUCUCACUGAUUUGAAACACACACUGACAGGCACACUUUCUGACAGGCACACACAUACAAACACUUUCAAUGACAGACACAUUCUCAGUGUUUCGAAACACACACUGGCAGACACACACACUGACAGACACACUGGCACACACUCUCACUCAUAGACCAAGCAGGACAAAUAUAUGGGAGGAGGGAGUAUAUAGUCUGUAUUGUGGGGGAUGCAGUGUAGCGAAUGGCACUGGGCUGUCCUGCAAAUGUCCUUGAAAUAAUUGCAUUCGUGUGAUCUGCUAGUUUUCUAUGUGUUUCAAGCCUUGUAUUCUUUUGAUUGUUCGGUAGUUUCAUUCCCUUAGUUUAUUCGAAUGAAACUACCGAACAGCCAGACCUCCCCUGUGUAAAGUGUGUCCUCAAUUACUCGUUGCAACAUUGUUGCGAACGGGUAAUUGACUAGGAAGUAGCCGUCCUUUGUUCUCGGGGGUGGCCGCCAUUCGACAAACGAACACGUGGCGGC
rnacentral:lncRNA from 1 species